rfam:Glycine soja cultivar W05 scaffold3791_12, whole genome shotgun sequence.
AGUAAUUCGGCAAAAUAGUCCCGUAACUUCGGGAGAAGGGGUGCCUCCUCACAAAGGGGGUCGCAGUGACCAGGCCCGGACGACUGUUUACCAAAAAUACAAGUGAUGCAAUCCUCCCUAGGAAGGGACCAAUCACUAGAACCAUGAGCAAGAGGCUCCAAGAAGAUUGGGCUAGAGCU